CCUACGGGUGGCAGCAGUGGGGAAUAUUGCACAAUGGGGGAAACCCUGAUGCAGCGACGCCGCGUGAGUGAAGAAGUAUUUCGGUACGUAAAGCUCUAUCAGCAGGGAAGAAAAUGACGGUACCUGACUAAGUAGCCCCGGCUACCUACGUGCCACCAGCCGCGGUAAUACGUAGGGGGCCAGGGUUAUCCGGAUUUACGGGGGGUAAAGGGCGGGUAGACGGCUGCGCAAGUCUAAAGUGAAAUCCCAUGGCUUAACCAUGGAGCUGCUUUGGAAACUGUGCAGCUGGAGUGCAGGAGGGGUAGGCGGAAUGCGUAGUGUAGCGGUGAAAUGCGUAGAUAGUAGGAGGAACACCAGGGGCGAAGGCGGCUUACUGGACUGUAACUGACGUUGAGGCUCGAAAGCGUGGGGAGCAAACAGGAUUAGAUACCCGGGUAGUC
rnacentral:rRNA from 1 species